GCUCCGGUAGUGUAGUCCGGCCAAUCAUUCCGGCCUUUCGAGCCGUAGACUCGGGUUCGAAUCCCGGCCGGAGCA
rnacentral:tRNA from 1 species